GUCGCUUUAGCUCACUUGGGAGAGCGCCAGACUGAAGAAUCCGCUGUGAAGCGUUAACUUCGGUUCAACUCGAAUAGCUAUCUGGAGGUACUGUGUUCGAUCCACAGAAGCGACA